rnacentral:rRNA from 1 species
GCGCUCGAAGAGGGGCCUGCGGCGGAUUAGCUAGUCGGUGGGGUCACGGCCUACCGAGGCGACGAUCCGUAGCUGGUCUGAGAGGAUGAUCAGCCACACUGGGACUGAGACACGGCCCAG